GACGAACGCUGGCGGCGUGCUUAACACAUGCAAGUCGAACGAAGUGGCGAACGGGUGAGUAAUACGUGGGUAACCUGCCCUCCUUUUUGGGAUAAGCCUUGGAAACGUGGUCUAAUACCGAAUAAAGGGGGAUGGGCUCGCGGCCUUUCAGCUUGUUGGUGGGGUGAUGGCCUACCAAGGCGGUGACGGGUAGCCGGCCUGAGAGGGUGACCGGCCACAGUGGGACUGAGAUACGGCCCAGACUCGUACGGGAGGCAGCCGUGGGGGAUAUGGCACAAUGGGCGAAAGCCUGAUGCAGCGAAGCCGCGUGGGGGAUGAAGGCUUUCGGUUUGUAAACCUCUGUAGAUAGUGAACGGGUAGGUGGAGAAGAAGCGCCGGCUAACUACGUGCCAGCAGCCGCGGUAAUAC
rnacentral:rRNA from 1 species